rnacentral:rRNA from 1 species
GAUGAACGCUGGCGGCGUGCUUAACACAUGCAAGUCGAACGGGAUCCAAGGGGUGCUUGCACUUUUUGGUGAGAGGGGCGAACGGGUGAGUAACACGUGAGUAACCUGUCCUUUUCUUUGGGAUAAGCAUUCGAAAGGGGUUUAAUACCUUAGGUUCUGUCUGCCUCGCAUGGGGUGGGUGGGAAAGGCUUUGGCCGGAUUUGGGUGGGCUCGCGGUCUAUCAGCGUGUUGGUGGGGUGAUGGCUUACCAAGGCUUGGACGGGUAGCCGGCGUGAGAGGGGGGGCGGGGACAUUGGGACUGAGUGGCGGUCAAGAAUCGCGCGGAAGGCAGCGGUGGGCGAUAUUGGAGAAUGGGCGACAGCCGGCUGCAGCCACGCCGCGUGGGGGAGGAUGGCGGAUGGGUUGUAAACGUCUUUUGCCCUCUACAGGGCAUGCCAGUGGGUGUGUGACGGGAAGGGGUAGAUAAGCGCCGGCUAACUACGUG